rnacentral:rRNA from 2 species
GUACUACAGGGGUUUCUAAUCCUGUUUGAUCCCCGCACUUUCGUGCCUCAGCGUCAGUUACAUUCUAGUAAGCUGCCUUCGCAAUCGGUGUUCUUGACGAUAUCUAUGCAUUUCACCGCUACACCGUCAAUUCCGCCUACCUCGUAUGUACUCAAGCUUUCCAGUAUCAAUGGCAGUCCUUACAGUUGAGCUGCAGAAUUUCACCACUGACUUAAAAAGCCGCCUACGCACCCUUUAAACCCAAUAAAUCCGGACAACGCUUGCACCCUCCGUAUUACCGCGGCGGCUGGCAC